ACAUGCCUACAACAUAUUAUUAAUGUGUCAUAUCCCAUUAGAACUCCGCAAUUAAGCACGCUUAGGAUAGAGUAGUACUGGGAUGGAUGACCACCCGGGAAGUCUUAGUGUUUUACAUGCC
rfam:Picea glauca, whole genome shotgun sequence.